rnacentral:sRNA from 1 species
GCCAGGCGUGGUGGUGCACACCUGUAAUCCCAGUGACUCAGGAGGCUGAGGCAGGAGGAUCGUGUGUUCAAAGCCAGCUUCAGAAACUUAGCGAGACACUUAGCAACUCAGCAAGACCCUGUCUUUA